UACGGAGGGGGCUAGCGUUGUUCGGAAUUACUGGGCGUAAAGCGCACGUAGGCGGAUCAGCCAGUCAGGGGUGAAAUCCCGGGGCUCAACCCCGGAACUGCCCUUGAUACUGCUGGUCUGGAGUUCGAGAGAGGCGAGUGGAAUUCCGAGUGUAGAGGUGAAAUGCGUAGAUAUUAGGAGGAACACCGGUGGCGAAGGCGACUUUCUGGACUGUAACUGACGCUGAGGCACGAAAGCGUGGGUAGCGAACAGGAUUAGAUACCCUGGUAGUCCCU
rnacentral:rRNA from 1 species